AGGUUUCUUGUUGUUUGGUUGUGUAUUUCGUCGGACAACCAACAGUUUGUUGUGAGGCGAAGGAAGGGGGUUUCCGGCAGAUGAGGUUUCGUGGAGGGAGCUCGUCGGUAGUGAUAUUGUUGUUCGACGGUGUGGUUAUGAAGUGGUUCUUUGGUUGAUGGAAGACGGUGAAGUGAAGCACGGUAAAGUAGGUUGGGUUUGCCGGCGGCGAAGGUGAAGGGUUGUUGAUGACGGUGUGUGAGCAAGCUUUUCCCCGGUAUUGGUGGCGGAUGGAGAGAGGAUGGGGUUUGGUUUUUGUGUGUUGAAGUGGAGAUGAAGGAAGAAGAAGGUUAUGGUGGUGGCUUGCGUUUCGUGGACGGAGAUGUGGGGAGCGGCGAUGAGGGUUUGUGUUGAGAGAGAGAGCUUCUUUUUCGUCCCGUUGAGAGAGUGUGGAGAGGGGUAUUUGUUGGUCAGUGGAGAUGAAGGAGGUCCCCUCUCCUUUUUUAUUUUUUAUUUUCUUUUUCUUUUGAGAGCCGUUGGAGUCUCUUUCUCUUUUGUCUUUAUUCGCCCCCUUUAACCAAAAGCCACAUGUCUUAUAUUGUACCGAUAGAGGAGAAAGAUUUUCUCUUGGUGACAGCUGUGGGAUAUGAACGAAUUCUUCUUUUAUUAUUUGAAUUUUGGAGACUAAUUUUCUUUUUUUUAAAAAAAUUAACUAAGGCAAAAAAAAAAGAUUUAAAUAUAAUAUUGAAAUGAUUUCCAUUUAAAUAUAGUUGUUAUCUUAACUUAAAAGCAAAACUAAAAAGGAUUAUCAACGAAUAAAAAUCGGAUAAAAAUACUUGAAAAUUUAAAUUAGAUACACUAAAAUGAUCAACGCGAAAUAAAUUUAUUGAAAAAAUACAGCGUUUCUUUAAAUUUUGAAAUAGAUUUGCACCGGUUAAAAGACUCAGGCGGGUCAAAAUGCAACUGAAUCAGCUGCUGGAAAAUACAACGAGCACACCAAGUUAAACUACAUGAACCGUAGAUUAAUAAUAUUGGCGUCUGCAAUUUUAAAAUUUCGAAACUUUUUAUCCGCUCAUUUUGUUCGUAUAUGAGGAAAUGAUUCAACCGAUUUGUCUGUAUUUUCAAUAAAUUUAUUCUGACUGAUAUUUUAGUUUUUAUUCAUGAUGGAAUGCAUGUCAUGCUGUGCAUAUGAUGCAAAUUAAAAAUGAAAUCGAUUUUACAAAAAUUUAAAUAUGCCCGGACAAAAUUGGGGUAUGACAAGGGCACCGUACAUUACGAUAUUCCUUAGUUACUCUAUCUCUCAUCAAUCCGUCCUUUGUGUGUGACCCUAUAGGUUUUCGCGACAUUGGCAAUUAUAUUAAAUCACAUAUUUAACAUAAUAGACAGUGAGCGGUAUCUAGUAACACAUUAUUGCUACCCAAGACACGAAAAUGUCAUGUGAUAUGACAAAUCCUUCUGUGAUAAUAAUUAUAUGUAUAAUUACCCUUUUGCCCUUAUGUCUAUAUUGAACACAAGGCAUAGACCGUGUCAUCCUUGUCCAGUUCAAUAUUGGACCCAUAGACAUUUAUUCCUGUUACGCAGGAUGGCAAAUUCAUCUAGGUCAUCAUGUCCCUUAUCAUUGCUUCAAUGAGUACCCAUCAACUGUCUUUAUGGUCAUCCAGUUAAGGACAAUGUUUGAUCAACAAUAAGGCACUCGACUCUACAUCUAGGUCCAUAGUGGUUUCAGGUCCAAGGGUGGUAUACACAUCAUUAUCACCAUGAGAAAACUUAUGACACUUUGUAUAACAUUCUAUAUAGUAUCUCAUAGCGGGUCAAUCCAGUAUAAAUAUCACUCUUAAUAUUCAUACCUAUGUUAAGAUUGAUAACUCCUUAUCCAUGAUCCAUUAAGAUGUGAUCAUCAUCUAAUACAUAAUAGUCUUAAUGCUUUAAUGUUAUCCCACUUCACAAUAAAGCUCGACUAUGGAUACUUUAAGAAUAAUGUCCUUAUGUUUAAUGUGAUCUCAUGAUUAAGUCACAAUUGAUACCUUAAACGGACUAUCUAUUCUAGGGACUUUAUAAGACAAACAUAAUAAAGAAAAAACCUUUUAUUAUUAAUAAAUAACUCGAUACAAGUACCAAAAGUAUUGGCCUCUAGGGCUUACACCAACAGUGUCGACAAGGGAGUAGCGUGAAACGGCGGACCGUGUUGACAAAUCUUGGGUUCAACAAGUGUGUGCUUGGGAUUAAUUCAGCCGAGUAAAAUCCUUGAGACAAGGAGGUCGUGCAAGGAAGAAACAACAACAGGUGGAUUGAAGUGGCAAUGUUGGUGACUUGAUCAAUCUUUGAUCAAGGUUUUUGGAGGUUCUAGAGUCAAGUUCAAACUUAGGGUUUAUGGGAUUUGAUUUCUCAUCUCUUGUAUUCAUACAUUUGCAAAGUAAGAUUUAUUAUAUUAAUAUCUCAAUUCAAAUUAGAAUUGAGGGCAAACGUACCCAUAGCGAGGUCGAUUUUGGAACCACCUAAACAAAUCCUUGCGUACUCUCUCUCUCUCUCUCUCUCUCUCUCUCUCUCUCUCUUAUUUUUCAAUUCGCAAAUUAUUGAUUGCUUUAAUCAUCGGAUUAACAUAGUUUGGAUCAUAAUUUUGAUUACAUUUUGAAUCUUGUGUUUGUUGUAUUGAUCAUUAACCAUUUGGUUGUGAUUGUAUUUCUUAGAACAACAAACACCAUCUAAAAUUCCAAACUUUGUUUUUUGCACACCAAGUGUUCGACAAAUUGUUUGACUUAGGUUUUUGUGUGUG
rnacentral:lncRNA from 1 species